rnacentral:rRNA from 1 species
GACCUACGGGGGGCAGCAGUGAGGAAUAUUGGUCAAUGGGAGAGAUCCUGAACCAGCCAAGCCGCGUGAGGGAUGACGGCCCUACGGGUUGUAAACCUCUUUUGUCGGGGAGCAAGACCCGCCACGAGUGGCGGAGCGAGAGUACCCGAAGAAAAAGCAUCGGCUAACUCCGUGCCAGCAGCCGCGGUAAUACGGAGGAUGCGAGCGUUAUCCGGAUUUAUUGGGUUUAAAGGGUGCGCAGGCGGACCAUCAAGUCAGCGGUAAAAUCGUGGGGCCCAACCCCAUCCCGCCGUUGAAACUGGCGG